rnacentral:rRNA from 1 species
UACGAAUGGUUCACGCGUUAAUCGGAAUUACUGGGCGUAAAGCGCGCGUAGGUGGUUUGUUAAGUUGGAUGUGAAAGCCCCGGGCUCAACCUGGGAACUGCAUCCACAACUGGCAAGCUAGAGUAUGGCAGAGGGUGGUGGAAUUUCCUGUGUAGCGGUGAAAUGCGUAGAUAUAGUAAGGAACACCAGUGGCGAAGGCGACCACCUGGGCUAAUACUGACACUGAGGUGCGAAAGCGGGGGGAGCCAACAGGAUUAGAUACCCGGGGAGUCC